GAUGAACGCUGGCGGCGUGCCUAAUACAUGCAAGUCGAGCGAACAGAUGAGGAGCUUGCUCCUCUGACGUUAGCGGCGGACGGGUGAGUAACACGUGGAUAACCUACCUAUAAGACUGGGAUAACUUCGGGAAACCGGAGCUAAUACUGGAUAAUAUAUUGAACCGCAUGGUUCAAUAGUGAAAGACGGUUUUGCUGUCACUUAUAGAUGGAUCCGCGCCGCAUUAGCUAGUUGGUAAGGUAACGGCUUCCAAGGCAACGAUGCGUAGCCGACCUGAGAGGGUGAUCGGCCACACUGGAACUGAGACACGGUCCAGACUCCUACGGGAGGCAGCAGUAGGGAAUCUUCCGCAAUGGGCGAAAGCCUGACGGAGCAACGCCGCGUGAGUGAUGAAGGUCUUCGGAUCGUAAAACUCUGUUAUUAGGGAAGAACAAAUGUGUAAGUAACUAUGCACGUCUUGACGGUACCUAAUCAGAAAGCCACGGCUAACUACGUG
rnacentral:rRNA from 1 species